ACGACGCAUCUGUAAUUAUUCAGAGGACUAAAGACUCUCGACAUUCAAGAGGAAUUUCUUUCGCAGGGGCAGAAAAAAUCAAUAAGGGUUAAUGUGUUAACAGUCAUUUGUUUGCACAUCCAACAGAAACAGAGCAACAUCAGCAUUCAUCUGAAGCGGUGUUUGUGUCCAUCUGAUGAAUGCAGGUUGCUGCGAUUCAUAUUACCGUCCUGGGUGCAAGCAAAGCUGGAAGGCGGGCGAGAGGGAGUCGUGGUAUCGACGGGAGCAGGAAGGAAAACGAGAGGAAUGUAUUCAAGUUACAAGAAAAUAGCAUUUCACUGGUGUUCUGCUUCUGUAGCUGGAUGUAUUCUCAGUCGAAGCAGGGAUGGAGCGCGGGGACAGAACACGAGGAGAGGCUCUUCACGAGUCUUCAAAUGCUUGUUGAAUGAAUAAACCCCAGACAAUGAGAAA